rnacentral:rRNA from 1 species
UACGUAGGGUGCAAGCGUUGUCCGGAAUUAUUGGGCGUAAAGGGCUCGUAGGCGGUCCAUCGCGUCGGGAGUGAAAAGCUGGGGCUUAACCCCAGUCCUGCUUCCGAUACGGGUGGACUAGAGGUAGGCAGGGAGAACGGAAUUCCUGGUGUAGCGGUGAAAUGCGCAGAUAUCAGGAGGAACACUGGUGGCGAAGGCGGUUCUCUGGGCCUUACCUGACGCUGAGGAGCGAAAGCCAGGGGAGCAAACGGG